rnacentral:rRNA from 1 species
UACGUAGGGAGCAAGCGUUGUCCGGAAUCAUUGGGCGUAAAGCGCGCGUAGGCGGCCCGGUAAGUCCGUCGUGAAAGUCAAAGGCUCAACCUUUGAAUGUCGAUGGAUACUGCCGGGCUAGAGUCCGGAAGAGGCGAGUGGAAUUCCUGGUGUAGCGGUGGAAUGCGCAGAUAUCAGGAGGAACACCAAUUAGCGAAGGCAGCUCGCUGGGACGUACUGACG